AAAACAACAUAGGGAGGAUUGUUAGUAAAAGAGCUCAAGACACAAACAUCCGUCACCACACAGCGCUCUGUUACAGCAACAUGCCAAACAAACAUGUUUAA